rnacentral:lncRNA from 1 species
GUUGUUGUUAAAUCAUUAAUAAAAAUGAUAUAGUGAAAUUAUAAUUCACUGUUAACAGCCAAUCUGGUUAUAUUUUGUUAAAAUAGCUGAGAAACAAGGUUGAUAAGUUGUGCACUUACGAGGGAAUAUUUGGACCUCAUUGAAUACGUAUUCGUGUGACUUCCAAUUCAACCUCUUGCUGGAGAUGGGUUAUCGAUGUAUUUAAAAGCUAUUAAAGUUGUAAGGGUUUUGCAGAACAGAUAGCCUACUUUUGCUGUUAAUCGCAGGCUCAACAAAAAUGAGGGGAAAAUAUUAAAAUUUUAAUCUAGAUACUAUCUUUUGACUAGUACUGUAAGAAGCUUCUGUCAAAAUUGGGUAAAAAUCCAGGAUGGUUUAUAAAACCUAAUGUUUU